rnacentral:rRNA from 5 species
CCACCUGACCCCAUGCCGAACUCAGAAGUGAAACGCCGUAGCGCCGAUGGUAGUGUGGGGCCUCCCCAUGCGAGAGUAGGGAACUGCCAGGC